GAUGAAGAACGCAGCGAAAUGCGAUAAGUAAUGUGAAUUGCAGAAUUCAGUGAAUCAUCGAAUCUUUGAACGCACCUUGCGCCCUUUGGCCAUUCCGAAGGGCAUGCCUGUUUGUGUAUCAUGAACACCUCAACUCUUCAUGGUUUUCCAUGAUGAGCUUGGACUUUGGGGGUCUUGCUGGCCUGUGGGUCGGCUCCUCUCAAAUGAAUCAGCUUGCCGGUUUUUGGUGGGCAUCACAGGUGUGAUAACUAUCUACGCUUGUGGUUUUCCACCAGGGUAACCUUCAGCAGUGGAGGUUCACUGGAGCUUACAAAUGUCUCUCCUCUGUGAGGACAGCCCUUUGAAUGUUUGAUCUCAAAUCAGGUAGGACUACCCGCUGAACUUAAGCAUAUCAAUAAGCGGAGGA
rnacentral:misc_RNA from 1 species